GGCUUUGUUUUCUGCGUCUCCACAGAUUUUCUCUUUGGUUGAGUUUUACUUCCUAUUGGGAAGAUUUAGGAAAAAAUAUUUCAUUCAACAAAUAUUUAGUAAUGUGACUGCUAGUUACAAGUAGUAAACAGACACUAAGCUCUGUAGCUCUGUGUUAUAACUUUCCAUGAAGUGUGAGUUGUUAGCUGAGGCUAAUCUGAAGGAGAGGCUGAGAUC